UACGUAGGGCGCAAGCGUUGUCCGGAAUUAUUGGGCGUAAAGAGCUCGUAGGCGGUCUGUCGCGUCGGAUGUGAAAGCUCGAGGCUUAACCUCGGGUCUGCAUCCGAUACGGGCAGACUAGAGGCAGGUAGGGGAGAACGGAAUUCCCGGUGUAGUGGUGAAAUGCGUAGAUAUCGGGAGAACACCAGUGGCGAAGGCGACUACCUGGCCUGUUCUUGACGCUGAGGCGCGAAAGCUAGGGGAGCAAACGGG
rnacentral:rRNA from 1 species